UACGAAGGGAGCUAGCGUUGUUCGGAAUCACUGGGCGUAAAGCGCACGUAGGCGGAUGUGUCAGUCAGGGGUGAAAUCCCGGAGCUCAACUUCGGAACUGCCCUUGAUACAGCACAUCUGGAGUCCGGAAGAGGUGGGUGGAAUUCCUAGUGUAGAGGUGGAAUUCGUAGAUAUUAGGAAGAACACCAGUGGCGAAGGCGGCUCACUGGUCCAGUACUGACGCUGAGGUGCGAAAGCGUGGGGAGCAAACAGG
rnacentral:rRNA from 1 species